ACGAAGGGGCGAGAAAAAACGUUAGACUCUCGCUACAAUCUUGCCGGUCUACCGAGGUCCGUUCGAAAUAGGUUUUUUCAUUACGGUGUUUCGCCAAUCAUCCUGUAUCCGUACACUCGUGUACGCAAUAUAUAAAUACGUAUUCCUGUACACCGAUUCAAACCUCUCGCCUACCCGCGGUGCGAAAAGUAUGUCCGGCUUUUUUCGGUUUUCGGCUAUCCAAAAUCGGAACCGGUACGCGAGAAGAUUAUUGGAACACAAUCGCAAUAAUAAUAAUAGUAGGUGAUAACACUCAAACCGCCCAGACAACAUGCGACGGCACUUUCGCAGAGGUCGCUUCGAGUGCGGGCGUUGUGCGAUUAUCUUAUUUACACGAUCG